rnacentral:rRNA from 1 species
UACGUAGGCAGCGAGCGUUGUUCGGAUUUACUGGGCGUAAAGGGCGCGUAGGCGGUAGCACAAGUCAGUUGUGAAAUCUCCGGGCUUAACUCGGAAAGGUCAACUGAUACUGUGCGACUAGAGUGCAGAAGGGGCAACUGGAAUUCUCGGUGUAGCGGUGAAAUGCGUAGAUAUCGAGAGGAACACCAGCGCGAAGGCGGCUUUCUGGUCCGAUUCUGACGCUGAGGCGCGAAAGCGUGGGGAGCGAUCCGG